CCACAUCCCAAACCACAUAGCAGAGAACAGCAAAAUCAGGUCAACCCAGAAAUGCUACCUGCAGUUGCCUCUUGAGAGCAUGUUUGAGCUGACUCCCAAACCACUGUCUAUCACUUUAGCCCUGGUUAUAUGUGUGAGAAAGACAAGUCUUUCCCCACUCCUAUCCACUGACCCAUCUCCAGUUGCAGACCAGUAACAAUGGUAAGAAGUCCAUAAAGCUGUGUGGACGUCACAUGACCAGGUUACACAGAAUGAACGCUCAUUCAACAACUGAGAAUAAUGUCAUCUACUGGAGAAGCAGCUGUUUCUCACCAAGCAUGUUGCAGACAAUAUUAUUGCUCUAAACAACGCAUAAAUCUAAAGAGCUACAAAAUAUUUCUGGAGAGAAACCCAGAGUACAAAGAAGUUUAACACCUUUUUAAAGACCACAGACCUUGGUAUUCAUUCUGAAAAGUGGGGAUUUGAGUUUUUUCUUUCAGACAUUCUUUGUGAACACACUCUUUUCACCCUAAGCAAACAUAUUUCCUUUACUAGUAGCAUAUGUCUAACUUCUGGUUUAUUCAGAAACACUAAGACUAUAAAAUAAUACUAUUUGUUUAUGAAAUUUGACCCAAUAGCCCAGUCUCUGCUUUUUAGUGAAACCAACAUAGAUUAUCAUGUCAUCUGCCAACAAAGAGAGUUCAUCUAUUUGCAAUAUGUAUAACGUAUACAUAAAAUAAUAAUACUAAACAAUAAUGCAUCAUUA